GGAGGGAUACCCAAGUCUGGCUUAAGGGAAAUCAACUUCGGUUGAUUAGGAGCUUUAUUGCUCGCGUUGGUUCAAAUCCUUCUCCCUCCG
rnacentral:tRNA from 1 species